rnacentral:rRNA from 1 species
CGCUGGCGGCAGGCCUAACACAUGCAAGUCGAGCGGCAGCACAGAGGAACUUGUUCCUUGGGUGGCGAGCGGCGGACGGGUGAGUAAUGCCUGGGAAAUUGCCCUGAUGUGGGGGAUAACCAUUGGAAACGAUGGCUAAUACCGCAUGAUGCCUACGGGCCAAAGAGGGGGACCUUCGGGCCUCUCGCGUCAGGAUAUGCCCAGGUGGGAUUAGCUAGUUGGUGAGGUAAUGGCUCACCAAGGCGACGAUCCCUAGCUGGUCUGAGAGGAUGAUCAGCCACACUGGAACUGAGACACGGUCCAGACUCCUACGGGAGGCAGCAGUGGGGAAUAUUGCACAAUGGGCGCAAGCCUGAUGCAGCCAUGCCGCGUGUAUGAAGAAGGCCUUCGGGUUGUAAAGUACUUUCAGUCGUGAGGAAGGUUGUAGUGUGAAUAGCACUAUGAUUUGACGUUAGCGACAGAAGAAGCACCGGCUAACUCCGUGCCAGCAGCCGCGGUAAUACGGAGGGUGCGAGCGUUAAUCGGAAUUACUGGGCGUAAAGCGCAUGCAGGUGGUUUGUUAAGUCAGAUGUGAAAGCCCUGGGCUCAACCUAGGAGUUGCAUUUGAAACUGACAGAGCUAGAGUACUGUAGAGGGGGG